rnacentral:rRNA from 1 species
AAAAGUCGUAACAAGGUUUCCGUAGGUGAACCUGCGGAAGGAUCAUUAUUGAAUAAACUUGGUUGGGUUGCUGCUGGCUCUUAGGAGCAUGUGCACGCCUAGCGCCAUUUUUAAAACCACCUGUGCACUUUUUGUAGACUUUGGAUAAUGAACCCUUUUCGAGGAAACUCGGAUUUGAGAAUGUGCUGAUAAUAAAGCUCUUCUUGCAUUUCCAAGUCUAUGUUUAUAACAUACCCCAUAAGAAUGUAAUAGAAUGUCAUUAAUUGGCCUUAUGUGCCUUUAAAAUCAAAUACAACUUUCAACAACGGAUCUCUUGGUUCUCGCAUCGAUGAAGAACGCAGCGAAAUGCGAUAAGUAAUGUGAAUUGCAGAAUUCAGUGAAUCAUCGAAUCUUUGAACGCACCUUGCGCUCCUUGGUAUUCCGAGGAGCAUGCCUGUUUGAGUGUCAUUAAAUUCUCAACCUUUCUAGCUUUUAUUAGCGAAGAAUAGGCUUGGAUGUGGGAGAUGCAGGCUUUUUCUUUGCCGGCUCUUCUUAAAUGCAUUAGCAAAACCUUGGUUGCCCAUCCUUAUCGGUGUGAUAACUUAUUACCUUCUACGCCCUUGAGAAGGCAGCUUUCAUUCAAUUGAGAGGGGUUUAGCUUCUAAUCGUCCCUUCGUUUGGACAAACAUUUUUAUAUGACAUUUUGACCUCAAAUCAGGUAGGACUA